rnacentral:misc_RNA from 1 species
AACCUAGCACACCUGCGGUGUGUACCUGCGGAGGGAUCAUUACCGAGUUUACAACUCCCAAACCCCUGUGAACAUACCUAUACGUUGCCUCGGCGGAUCAGCCCGCGCCCCGUAAAACGGGACGGCCCGCCCGAGGACCCCUAAACUCUGUUUUUAGUGGAACUUCUGAGUAAAACAAACAAAUAAAUCAAAACUUUUAGCAACGGAUCU